UCCAGGGGGAGGGAAGAGACACCAGAAGAAAGAGUCUUAUGGAUGAUGAACAGGAAUGGAGUUUUUAACUCGGCGGGGAGAGAGCUGCUGCUUGGGGGAGCUCAGUGCUGCAAGAGCUGGAAAUUCAGAGAAGCCACGGCUAAAUUCCCAGCAUCAGGACAAGAUGCCUCUCCUCAUCGAAAUGGAAUCUAUCACACUGGGAUUUCAACAAGUUUGCCAGAUGGACAGCAACCUGCAAACCAUCAGACCAGCCUCAACAUCCAUCACCACAUCAGUCCCAAUCCAAACCAAGGAAAAACAUGGUUCCUGACUUCAUGGAAGGCACAUCCAUCAGAGAAGACAGACACUAAACAAGUAAACAGGUAAUAAACCAAUAAUGACAGAGUGU